UAAACGAAAAAGGGGUCUUAAUGUGUAAGAAGGAGGAUUAACACAUCAGAGAUUUGUUUUCUGUUUUAUAUACAUAUUUCAACAUGGUGUUAGCUUCUCAGAAAACUCAAAAGGUUGGAGUAACACAGGACUCAAUAGUGUCCAAGGAGCAGCUACACCAGGAUUUUAAAAUAGCAAAAUGCUAGUCAGCUGUAGUUGUAAAUGUAAUAAAAGAAUGCCUAAACAAGUACCCACGCUCUCAACUUCCUUCCCAAGGAGGCUCAUUUACAUUAUAAUGGUUGCCAAGGUUACUUUAAUUCCAUCACAGCUCCUGUCUCCAGUGGCUAAUCUGGCGCCUGGGUGGCACAAGUACAACAACCAAAAGCCUUAAUUGAAGCUAACUCAAAACUCAGGCUACUCAAAAGUUCAUGACCUACAAAAAGGAUUUUGUUCUAGCGACACAAAUUGCUGAAGCACUGUUUUUAAGAUCCAUCAGGCUGCCGAGUAAGUGCUCAUCUAGUCCAUUACGUCAAACUGUCUGAUGGUACUCUGUGGUAUCAUUUACCCUUCACUGGGCAAACGGUAUGGACAACAAAAUUGCUUUCCACAAGAACAAAUAACACUGCAAUGAACAACCCCUCAUGGACUUAUGUGAGAAUUUCUUUCAGAUAUAGGCCCAGGAAAAAAACUGCUGGAUCAUGGGGCAUACAUAAUGCAUAAUCUGAUUAAGCACCACCCUCCAAAAUGAUUAGACACCAAGCACUGGAUAGGCACUUAAGAUCCUUUUGUUCCUGUACCACCUCAUUCUCUUCAGCUAGCUGGGGCUCUGUUUAAUCUUCACAUCAGUCGUCAUUAUGUCAGAAAUAUGAAGGUGCAAUGUUUCUGGAUCUUCCAAUCCUGUACAGAUUUAUGUGACUCAGAGCACCAAAGGAGUGUGUUAAUUAGUACCAAGGGGAACUGAGCAUGGAACUCUGCUUAACCAGCAAUCUAGGAUGUGAGCUCCUGACAGAAAUAAGAGAAGAAUGAUUUCCCACCCAAGUAUGAUGAGUGCAUCAAAUGAAAAUGAUGCCCAGGAACAAGCAGUUCCAGAAACAAGAAUUCAAAUAAAACUGGCUUUGUAACAUUAA